UAUAGGAAAAAGUGAGUCAGAUUGCUGCAAUUACUGUGGAAUAACAGAAACAGUUGAACAUUUUUUACAUUGUGAGGCAUAUAAUAGAGAAAGAAAUCAGCUUAUUGAAAAACUAAGAGAUGUGGAAAUCUAUGCCUUUACAGUUAAGAAUAUAUUUCAGAAUGCACAGAAACAGUUAGGGGUUUAUUUUCUGUUAGAAUAUUUGAGAGAUACAGAUUUGAUUAGAAGAAUUUAGUUGUUUAUUUUUUUAUUUUUAUAUACAAUACUUUUGUUCAUCGAGGCCUCACGCAACAAAUUGGAUGCCAGCUGCCGUAAAAACCCAAAGAAGAGGAAGAUCGAGGCCUCACACUCACUCCAUCCCAGUAGGUGGCGGAAAUGCACAUUAAGCUGGUUUGCCAACCGCCAUUAAAUACAAAAGAAGAAGAAGAAUCAUCAGCGUGGAGCGCGUGGGUGGCAGGUCUGUAGAGUGGACGCGUACAACUGGACAAAGCGAUAAAUCAUCGAAGCGUUUAGUUGUGGCAGUAGUGGUAAGGGAUAAUAUAAAAGGGAAUAUAUAAGGAUGAAAUUAAUGUUUGAACUUUUUCAACAAAAGCUUGUUUCUGUUUUGAAGCGUUUUCCUACAGGAGAGGAAAUGAGAUAAGUGUAAUCGCGGUGUGAUUUGGUAAAUAUUCGAAAAUUGUUAAACUGAUUAAAAUUGUUUUUGUUUUCAAAUAACGAGAGUAGAAUAAAAUAGGAAAAUGAACCAGGAUAGUAUGCACAUGGGAUGGUUCUUUUUUUUCCACCGGUAUGCAGCCAUGUGCGUCACCACCAGAGAAUGCGCAUUUGAUUUGAUGCAAUGGCGAUGUGAAUUAGGACUACAAUUUCGAUACAUCGUCAACACCGGAAGACACAUCUUGAAAUAAACCUAUACAUGUGGAAAAAGUAGUGUAAAUGGAAUAACGGACAACCAACCGUUUAAGUACUGAACAUAAAAGGUCUGUCGUAAAUUAGUAGCCUACUGUACUGUGCUGUGUUGUGUCUAGCUCUAGAUGGCAGAAGAGAAUGGCUUGUAUUGCGCUCAACACUGACAGUGGGUACUUCUAUACAGACAGAGAGAGAGAGAAAGCUGAUUAUUACAAAAAAUCGGCUUAUUGAAUUUACCCAUUGUCACGGUUCACAUGCAAGUCAGAAAGCCAAGUAAACUGCGUUUACGAGAUUUUAUUAAUAAAUUCAUUUAUUUCCCGGUAAAGACGUCAAUCUCGGACACUUUGUUACAAGAAUCUCUCGUUUUCUCCCCAAAUCCUCAUACCUCUCUCCAUGUUUGUUUUCACACGGAUGUAAUUGUCUCCCCUGUUCAAUUUACUUUGUAAAGCAGGUAAAUACAAUAUUUAUUGUCUGUCGAAAUUAUGGAACUUAUCACUCAGUGUUCCAGUUAAGGAACAUUUUGAUUAAGGCAAUGUAUGUUACAUAAUACAGACAAAUAUUGGUAACACGUGCGGAAGCUAGAUAUUUUACUUCAUAAUUUGUUGAAUAUGGACAUUUUUUAUUUUUUUACACAAACACAUCGCUUCAGUUCAGAAGGCUUUUAUUAACCCCUGGCUGUGUGGAGCACACAUUUAUGACGGAUGUGGAUGGAAGCACUUUCUUCAGCUUCAUACUCAUUUAUUAAUAUUUCUGUGAUCAUACACCUAAGAUGGCUUGCGGAUGCAUAUGAAAUGCUAUAAUCUUCAUCCCCCUGAAACAAAGAACAAGAAAAUGUUUAAUAGAUUAAAAAAUAAAGGUAAGUAGGAAUCCCAUGUUCAUUCUCAUUUAAAUGCAGUGACUUUUACAGUUUUAUAAAGUUACACACACUGUUCUGCCUGCUACUCAACAAAAACAUGUUAAUUUAAUUUCUGUAGAACAAACAGAUACCUGUGUGGUCUGUUGACUUUUGUUUAUGUUCGUUGAUGCAGCCCUUAAAUCUUCUGAGGAAAAAUAAAUAUUUUAAAAGAUUUGAUUUAUGCCUACUGUGUUUUUAUUUUAAAAAUGUAACAUAAAUGUUCAAUGAAGAUGUAAAAAUGUGUGUUGAACAUUAAAAUAAAUGUGGUUGUGUACAGACAUGAAUCGUGCAAAUGUGCUUGCAAGGCAACACCGAAUUGAUAGUCCCCAUACUUUUUUUAUCAUUGCCUUCCCCACAGUUUGCUCCAUUUAAUUCAGCUCAUGUUUAACAGUGUUGUAGUGAUGUCACUGUAAAAUUAGAAUUAUAAUAUACAUUCCUUGUAAGCAAUUUAUGCAUUUAUCUAAAACUUUAACACUAUUUAUUUGCUGCCUUGCAAGCACCAGUAUUUCCUUCAGGAAAUAAAAAUCCAGUUGUGUGCUAUUAACCUUGAAAUCUUUUUCUUAUCCAGCACAGACAAGCAUUUGACACUGAUAAUAGCGCUAGAGGCACACAGACGAUAGGCAGCCAAAGACUGAUACCGCAGGUCACCGGAUCAUGACUGAAAUUUUUUGUGUCCUGUUGCGCAUCUGUACUUUCAUCUGCAAAUAUAGCAGGAUUAUGAAUAUAUGGCAGGAUUUUAGUUGUGUCAGUUAAGGAAAAACUGCACUUAAUUUAGAAUUAGAAAUGUUUUUCACUUUUGGUCACUCAACAACUGUAAAACAUUUUUUGAAAUCUUACAUAUCUGCACUCUACCUUCAAAGUCCAGUUUAGUACAGUGAGUUUGUUCAAGUCUGCAUUCAGUGCAGCAGUAGAGCAUCAGAUCAGUGUCAGAGAUGUUCAUCAGAAGCAGAGAGUGAGUGUUUGUGGAAGAACUGAGAGCUUUUAUCCGUCCUGCGUAACUUGGGUGAAUAUUAGUGGGCUCUGGUUUAGGUUUACCUCCAUACAAAUGUUCCAUUUUCAAAAUCCUGACAAAUGUUUGGUUUCCAUUUGUAAUGAUCCAGGUGAUCUCUUUAUCAUCUUUAAUGUUACAGGGGAGUGUUGUGUUUCCUCCUGGAUGAACUUUCACUGAUGAUCCUUCAGUGAGAGUCAAUGAGAUAAAAGUAAAAUCUGGAAAAGAAACGGUACAAUCUAAGUAUAAUGAAUACACACCUAUCUGACAAUUAAGUACAGACAUACAUACUUAGAUAUCAAGGUGCUCAGCAUUGAUUUCCCUUCAGUUCAGGUCAUCAGUUUUUAUAGUCCCUUUAAAUGAGAAUGAUACUGUAUGUGCCCUGUCACUUUUAUUUGAACACCCUGCAUCUUACGAUGCAAAUGUCCUAUGUAAAUGGUUAUUUUUUUUAAGUCGAGAAUUGUCCCUGCUUACUAAAAGUAUGAGCGAGCUACUUCUAAGCCUUGCAAAUGUUACAGUGCUCAAUCUGAAAUCUGCAGAAUAGCGAUUUAUGCUUUUUUAAGGUAUGUACAUACAGUUAUUCACAUUGGUUAUAAAAUUGUGUUUGAUGACAUUGUUUAGUUAAGUACAAUAACUUAAUUUAAAUGAUUCGCUGGCAAAAUACGGCUUGCUGUAAAUGGACUUAAAGACAUAUUAUUUCCAAGCAUACUGUCCCUCCGAGCAAAACUAUGCAUGAUAUACAAUUUCUGCUAAUAAUCCAAGAUAUGUUCAUAUUUAAUAUUUACUACAUAAUUAUGUUAAUAAUUACUGCCGGAAGUUAGUUAUUUUAGUUUAUAAAGUUUUAAAUAUGGAUAUUUUUCUUACAAAAUCCCAUCACUUCACUUCAGAAGGCCUUUAUUAACCACCUGGAGCCAUAUGGAUUAUUUUUUACGAUGGAUAGUAUGUUUUGGGCCUUGAAACAUGCCCCCCCAUUCACUACCAUUAUAAAGCUAUAGGAUAGCCAGGAUAUUUUUAAAUAUAUCUUCGAUUGUCUUUGUCUAAAAGAAGAUAGUCAUAUACACCUAGGAUGACUUGAGGGUGAGUAAAUCAUGGGAUAAUGAUCAUUUUUGGGUGAACUAUCCCUUUAAGGUGUUCCCAGAGUGUUCCUGAGUGAGUUUUGUAUUAAAGACUGUUUUCUAAUUUAUUUAUCUUUGUGCGCUACAUAUAUAAACAACCUGUGACUGUACAGUUUAUUAUUUGCAGCAUUUUCACUGCAGCUGCAGAGACGCGCGAGUAUUCACACUGGAAGCGUUUGUACAGCGUCACAGCAGCGGCUCCAAGAUACAUAUAAAGUGAGCAUUUCUUUACAAAGACAGCUAUAAAUUAGUUUUUAUAAGUUGGUCAUUUAUAAACUUGAUAGUCUUGAAAGUUUGUUAACAUGGGAAGGUGUACAACAUUCUCAUAUAAACGUAAAUACAUAAAUAAAUAAAAAUAAAUAAA